AUUGAACGCUGGCGGAAUGCUUUACACAUGCAAGUCGAACGAUGAGACCUAGCUUGCUAGGUUGAUUAGUGGCGAACGGGUGAGUAAUGUAUCGGAACGUAUCCAAUAAUGGGGGAUAACUAACCGAAAGGUUAGCUAAUACCGCAUACGCCCUACGGGGGAAAGCAGGGGAUCUUCGGACCUUGCGUUAAUGGAGCGGCCGAUAUCUGAUUAGCUAGUUGGUGAGGUAAAGGCUCACCAAGGCGACGAUCAGUAGCUGGUCUGAGAGGACGACCAGCCACACUGGAACUGAGACACGGUCCAGACUCCUACGGGAGGCAGCAGUGGGGAAUUUUGGACAAUGGGCGAAAGCCUGAUCCAGCCAUUCCGCGUGAGUGAAGAAGGCCUUCGGGUUGUAAAGCUCUUUCGCAAGGGAAGAAAACUUACUUUCUAAUAAAGAGUGAUGUUGACGGUACCUUGAUAAGAAGCACCGGCUAACUACGUGCCAGCAGCCGCAGUAA
rnacentral:rRNA from 1 species